rnacentral:lncRNA from 1 species
CUGAUUGAUUGAUUGAUUGUUGGUUGCUUAACGUCCAGUGGCAAAUAUUUCAUGCAUAUUCAGGACGAGAACAAGUUCACAAUAAAUACAAUAGGUAGGUUGUUGUAAUAGAGGCCAUCUAGGAUGAUGGUCGGGGGAAAUUUGGACUGCCACUGGAAAAUGAGGAUAUAUUGGAUAGGGACAGACAUUUUGCCUUGCAACAGGCCACCUACGGACCCCUCAAAGAGUUGUUGCAAGGGUUCUUAACGUGCAAAGAGCGUGGCAUUCUCUUUACACGAGGCAUCGGAUUUAACGUCCCCUUCUGACGGACGUGACUGCGAACUUGAUACAUCCCGC